AGCAUAUCAAUAAGCGGAGGAAAAGAAACCANCAGGGAUUACCUCAGUAACGGCGAGUGAAGCGGUAACAGCUCAAAUUUGAAAGCUCGCUCUUUUAGGGUGCGCAUUGUAAUUUGUAGAAGAUGCUUCGGGUGUGGCCCCGGUCUAAGUUCCUUGGAACAGGACGUCAUAGAGGGUGAGAAUCCCGUAUGUGACUGGGUGCUUUCGCUCAUGUGAAGCUCUUUCGACGAGUCGAGUUGUUUGGGAAUGCAGCUCAAAAUGGGUGGUAAAUUUCAUCUAAAGCUAAAUAUUGGCCAGAGACCGAUAGCGCACAAGUAGAGUGAUCGAAAGAUGAAAAGCACUUUGGAAAGAGAGUUAAACAGUACGUGAAAUUGUUGAAAGGGAAGCGCUUGCAACCAGACUUGCGCGCUGAUGAUCAUCCGGGCUUCUGCCCGGUGCACUCGUCUGCGCUCAGGCCAGCAUCGGUUUUGGUGGUGGGAUAAAGGCCUUGGGAAUGUAGCUUCUUUCGGGGAGUGUUAUAGCCCUCGGUGCAAUGCCGCCUACCGGGACCGAGGACCGCGCUUCGGCUAGGAUGCUGGCGUAAUGGUUGUAAGCGACCCGUCUUGAAACACGGACCAAGGAGUCUAACAUCUAUGCGAGUGUUUGGGUGUCAAACCCAUACGCGUAAUGAAAGUGAACGGAGGUGAGAACCCUUAAGGGUGCAUCAUCGACCGAUCCUGAUGUCUUCGGAUGGAUUUGAGUAAGAGCAUAGCUGUUGGGACCCGAAAGAUGGUGAACUAUGCGUGAAUAGGGUGAAGCCAGAGGAAACUCUGGUGGAGGCUCGCAGCGGUUCUGACGUGCAAAUCGAUCGUCAAAUUUGCGUAUAGGGGCGAAAGACUAAUCGAACCAUCUAGUAGCUGGUUCCUG
rnacentral:rRNA from 1 species